rnacentral:rRNA from 1 species
AGGACGAACGCUGGCGGCGUGCUUAACACAUGCAAGUCGAGCGGUAAGGCCUUUCGGGGUACACGAGCGGCGAACGGGUGAGUAACACGUGGGUGAUCUGCCCUGCACUCUGGGAUAAGCCUGGGAAACUGGGCCUAAUACCGGAUAUGACCUGCUCUCGCAUGGGGGUGGUGGAAAGAUUUAUCGGUGCAGGAUGGGCCCGCGGCCUAUCAGCUUGUUGGUGGGUAAUGGCCUACCAAGGCGACGACGGGUAGCCGACCUGAGAGGGUGACCGGCCACGACUGGGACUGAGACACGGCCCAGACUCCGUACGGGAGCAGCAGUGGGAAUAUGCACAAUGGGACGAAAGCCUGAUGCAGCGACGCCGCGUGAGGAUGGAA